rnacentral:rRNA from 1 species
AGAAUCAACGCUGGCGGCGUGCCUAACACAUGCAAGUCGAGCGCGAAAGGGGAGCAAUCCCCAAGUAGAGCGGCGAACGGGUGAGUAACGCGUGGGUAAUCUACCUCCGAGUGGGGAACAACAGCGGGAAACUGCUGCUAAUACCGCAUGACAUCGUCGAGCCUUCGGGUUUGACGAUCAAAGCCGGGGACCGCAAGGCCUGGCGCUUGGAGAGGAGCCCGCGUCCGAUUAGCUAGUUGGCGGGGUAACGGCCCACCAAGGCUCCGAUCGGUAGCCGG